rnacentral:rRNA from 1 species
AACGAACGCUGGCGGCAUGCCUAACACAUGCAAGUCGAACGAGACCUUCGGGUCUAGUGGCGCACGGGUGCGUAACGCGUGGGAACCUGCCCUUAGGUUCGGAAUAACUCCCCGAAAGGGGUGCUAAUACCGGAUAAUGUCUUCGGACCAAAGAUUUAUCGCCUUUGGAUGGGCCCGCGUUGGAUUAGCUAGUUGGUAGGGUAAAAGCCUACCAAGGCGACGAUCCAUAGCUGGUCUGAGAGGAUGAUCAGCCACACUGGGACUGAGACACGGCCCAGACUCCUACGGGAGGCAGCAGUGGGGAAUAUUGGACAAUGGGCGAAAGCCUGAUCCAGCAAUGCCGCGUGAGUGAUGAAGGCCUGAGGGUUGUAAAGCUCUUUUACCCGGGAUGAUAAGGACAGUACCGGGAGAAUAAGCUCCGGCUAACGCCGGG